rnacentral:piRNA from 1 species
UGAUAAUCUCAGAUUUAUGCAGCAGGUAU